CCUACGGGAGGCAGCAGUGAGGAAUAUUGGUCAAUGGGCGAGAGCCUGAACCAGCCAAGUCGCGUGAGGGAGUACUGCCCUAUGGGUUGUAAACCUCUUUUGUCGGGGAGCAAAAGCCGGACGUGUCCGGCUGUGAGAGUACCCGAAGAAAAAGCAUCGGCUAACUACGUGCCAGCAGCCGCGGUAAUACGUAGGUGGCGAGCGUUAUCCGGAAUGAUUGGGGGAAAGGGGUGCGUGGGCGGCCUGCUAAGUCUGGAGUGAAGGGUACGGGUUAAACCGGUAUAGGCUCUGGAAACUGGCGGGCUAGAGAGCAGGAGAGGGCGGUGGAACUCCAGGUGUAGCGGUAAAAUGCGUAGAUAUAUGGAAGAACACCAGUGGCGAAGGCGGCCGACUGGCCUGUUACUGACGCUGAGGCACGAAAGCGUGGGGAGCAAAUAGGAUUAGAUACCCUUGUAGUC
rnacentral:rRNA from 1 species